GGAGGGAGGGAGGGAAAGGGGGAGAAGAGCGGGGAAGGAGGUGGCGAGCUGGGGACGAAAUCCUGCUCUCGGUUAUGGCCGGCGUAAAUUUCCAUUGGCUGGGGUUGCACAAGGUGCUCGGAGAGGAGUCGGUGCAGGAUGGAGACCCUUUUGUGUGUGCGUGCCGGGGAGGGGGUGGGGGGUGCGGGUGUGCACGGGGCUCGGGGACCCUCCUCUCCCCGGGAAAAAAAAAAAAAAAAAAAAAAAAAAAAAAGGAAAGGAAAGGAAAAAAAAUGGGUUUUUCUCCAGGUUUGCCUUCGAAAAAAGCCCGGCCCGCGGCUGCCAGGGGAGAGGGCGGCCGGGGCUGACAGCCUGGGGCUCGCUCUGGCUCCCGGCUGGCCCCAGCUGAUGCAGGGGCUGGGAGCGGGCCGCAGCUCGCAGCCCCCCCGGCCCCCCCCCCGGCUUUAAUAACGCCGCUGAUAAUUAUAAUUAUAAUAACAACGGCGGCGGCGGCGGGAGCGCGGAGGGAGGAGGGCGGCAGGCGAGGAGCUGCGGAGGAAUUCGGUUCCUUUUCCUUUUUCCCCCCUUUUCUUUUCCUUGAUAUAUUCCCCCCUUUUUUUUUUCCCCUUAAAAAAAAAAAAAAUGUUUUAAAAAUGCAAGCGGCUUGCCCAGCUGCACACACCCACCCCUCGCCUCCCUCCCCCGGCUUGCGCACACCGCACGCUCGCACUCGCUCGCUCGCCCGCGCUCGCUCGGGUGUCAAAACCCGGCGGGCACCCAGCCUGGUCCCGGCUCUGCCCUCCCUUACCCCUGCCCUUACCCCUGCCCCUGCCCCUUGCCCCUGCCCCUGCCCGCCCGGGGGCCCGCCCGCCCCCCGCCGCCGGGGCUUUUCCCCCCCAGCUCUCGGCGCUGAAGACUGGAGCCUCCCCCGCUUCCAAGUGCACAGAGUACCCUGAGAGCGUAACAGUAACAGCUCGGUACAUUGGUGCUUGACCUCAGCUGAAAUCCCAGCAUGCCUCAUGCUUCCAAGUUUAAAACUGAACGAUUAAUCUUAGAAAUGUGCUCCGUGGGUUAAAAAAA